UACGUAGGGUGCAAGCGUUAAUCGGAAUACUGGGCGUAAAGCGUGCGCAGGCGGUGAUGUAAGACAGAUGUGAAAUCCCCGGGCUCAACCUGGGAACUGCAUUUGUGACUGCAUCGCUGGAGUGCGGCAGAGGGGGAUGGAAUUCCGCGUGUAGCAGUGAAAUGCGUAGAUAUGCGGAGGAACACCGAUGGCGAAGGCAAUCCCCUGGGCCUGCACUGACGCUCAUGCACGAAGCGUGG
rnacentral:rRNA from 1 species